UGGGGAAUAUUGGACAAUGGGCGAAAGCCUGAUCCAGCCAUGCCGCGUGUGUGAAGAAGGUUUUCGGAUUGUAAAGCACUUUAAGUUGGGAGGAAGGGCAUUAACCUAAUACGUUGGUGUCUUGACGUUACCGACAGAAUAAGCACCGGCUAACUCUGUGCCAGCAGCCGCGGUAAUACAGAGGGUGCAAGCGUUAAUCGGAAUUACUGGGCGUAAAGCGCGCGUAGGUGGUUCGUUAAGUUGGAUGUGAAAUCCCCGAGCUCAACCUGGGAACUGCAUUCAAAACUGACGAGCUAGAGUGUGGUAGGGGGUGGUGGAAUUUCCUGUGUAGCGGUAAAAUGCGUAGAUAUAGGGAGGAACACCAGUGGCGGAGGCGACCACCUGGACUGAUACUGACACUGGGGUGCGAAAGCGUGGGGAGCAAACA
rnacentral:rRNA from 1 species